rnacentral:rRNA from 1 species
AUUGAACGCUGGCGGCAGGCCUAACACAUGCAAGUCGAACGAGUGGCGGACGGGUGAGUCAUGUCUGGGAAACUGCCUGAUUGAGGGGGAUAACUACUGGAAACGGUCGCUAAUACCGCAUACCAUCGGAUGUGCCCCGAUAGGAUUAGCUAGUAGGUGGGGUAAAGGCUCACCUAGGCGAAGAUCCCUCGCUGGUCUGAGAGGCUGACCAGCAACAUGGGAACGGAGACACGGUCCAGACUCCUAGGGGAGGGAGCAGUGGGGAAUAUUGCACAAGGGGCGCAAGCCUGAUGCAGCCAUGCCGCGUGGAUGAAGAAGGCCUUCGGGUUGUAAAGUACUUUCAGCGGGGAGGCGUUACCCGCAUAAGAAGCACCGGCUAACUCCGUGCCAGCAGCCGCGGUAAUUC